CUUCCCAGCCCUCUAAUUUUCUUCUAUGCGAUCGCAUAGUUUGGCCAGUUACUUCAGUGCGAUCGCAUACCCUCCAUCGCGAUCGCAUAGCGUAUAGACCCCGCCCAGGCCAGACCCGACCUUCUUCUAUGCGUACGCAUCCCCCCUGCGAUCGCAUUGACCAGCCUUCCCUAUCUCUAUGCGAUACCAUGUUCAUGCAUCGUAUAGGCCAAAUUCCUUCAGCGAUUUAAUUAGGUCCAGCACAGUGUUUUCUCCGUUAUUCUUCAAAAAUUCCCAUACGAGCUCUCCUUCUACACUCUCCAUUGACGAACUCCAAGCCCCUACUUCACUAUAACUCGUUGGGUAAGUGAUUCUAACUUCAUUCUUCCAUUAUUUCU
rnacentral:lncRNA from 1 species